CACUGCUCUCCCACAGUGAUCCCAUUCAGUGACUUUCAGAACUCUUCUGUCUUUCCAGAACAAUCACACAGAGGUUGUGUGACCUGGCUUCCUAGCCUCAAGUGCUGUAUCUGUAAAAUGGGGAGUACUAGCUACCUCAAAGAAUGUAGUGAGGACUGAAAGAAAGCACAUCUUGAAAACUGAUGGAACUUCCUGAGAGUCGCAGAAGAAGCAAGUGGAAACCAUGACGUUCAAGAGAAAAUAAUUUUAACUUUUGCUCUUUCCAUCUUAACACUUCCCACCACUCCCCUACUCUGAAUGGAGAAAGGCUGCUGUAGGCCAACUGGUGUCACUGAGACAAAAUAAAAUAUCCUGCAGAUUGCUGUA